CUCUUUUGUUGUCACCGCCGCUGUCCGAGGGGAGAUGUCGCCGCCGCCGAGGGGAGACAUCACCGCCCGGGGGAGACGCCACCGCCGCCCUUAGCAUCGUAUUCCCUCGACGCCUUCUCCCGGAAUGCCGCGGAGAAGAAGGCCGCCGGGGCGCAGCAGCAGGAGCCCUCGCCGCCGGCCACCGUGACGGUUGCCGUCGCGAACUCCCUCCUCGCCAAUCUGUUCGCGGGUGUCUCGGCCGUCAAGGCGACCUACGCGCAGUUCCCCUAUGAUGCGGAUGCCAUUCAGUCUGCGGACGUUGCCGUGGUCACGGAGGUCACCAGGCUAUCCGACACCAAGCGGAGGUUCUUCAAGGAUCCCACAGGCGCGGCCAGGGACGCCGCGGCCAUGGGCAACACCGCCCUCUCCACGCAUGCCGAGGAGCAGCGGCAUCUGCUCAAGAUGUACCAGAUCACGACCCGCAAGCUGGAGGCGGAGCUCCGUGUGAAGGAUGCGGAGCUCGACCAUGCCAAGGGCUCCCUCGAUGCGGAUAACAUAAGCUCUUCUUUUUUCUUUUGUGUUUGA
rnacentral:rRNA from 1 species